AGCUUUGUGCAGUGGCAGUGUCAUAGCCAAUGAGGUUGAUCUGAGGUACAAUUAUUGCUAAUUGAAAAUUUUUCCCAAUACCCCACCAUCAAGACUUGAAAUAUAGUUGCAUUGACAAUUUUUGCUGGUAUCUGUGGAGG
ensembl:snRNA U4 U4 spliceosomal RNA